GACAGAGGGUGCAAACGUUGUUCGGAAUUAUUGGGCGUAAAGGGCGCGUAGGCGGCCUUGUAAGUCAAAGGUGAAAUCCCUCGGCUCAACUGAGGAACUGCCUUUGAAACUGCAAGGCUUGAGGCCGGGAGGGGGUAGCGGAAUUCCCAAUGUAGCGGUGAAAUGCGUAGAUAUUGGGAGGAACACCAGUGGCGAAGGCGGCUACCUGGACCGGUUCUGACGCUGAGGCGCGAAAGCGUGGGUAGCAAACAGG
rnacentral:rRNA from 1 species